GUAUCAGCUGGUUAGCUUGGACCAGGACAGAGUUCUUGCAUGUGACUCCAAUGACCCUCUAAAAAUAUCAUAGAUCUGGGUAGUGUUGGGGGGUGGUAGCAACUAAAGACUUGGAAAAGAAAGUGGUACUUUCCCUCAAGGGUAAAUCUAUGGGGAGAAGGAAAAUGUAUGUUUGUGAAGCAACCUUCAUCACAGGCCAAGUGUGAAAAUCCCAGAUUCAAUAAAGACAUGCUAAGGGGAAGAUCCAGAAUGGAGGCAGCAGAGAGUGGGGGCACCACUUCACCAGUGAAGCCUCCUUCAGGAUCCUUUGGAGAGAAGCUUUCUUGGCCAAGCUGAGCCACAGAUGAGCUCAGGCAUGAGGCUGGUGGACUUGGGCCUAGUAGGCAGCCAUCAUCAAUGUGUCUUGGAGCCACAUUAGAAACACUUUAGGAGAGUGCCUCUCUGUGCAAGCCCAGCUUCUCUUUUGGAGGUCUAAGUCUGGGGCAUUUUGUCAGUCCUUUUCAAGACCCCGCCCCCAUCAGUCCCUUCUUGCGGGCUCCCAGAAAAUAGCAUCAAGUCACCCAGUCAGUAAACACCGCUUCUCAUUCUUUUUUCCUUCUUUUGGGAAUUUCUAGAAUUACUCUACAAUGAAACACUUUGAAGAUGUCACAACAUAGAGAACACCUGAGACUUCCAUAGCAGGAUAAUGAUGAUAGAGUUAGUAGCAGCAGCAGUGGAGGGAGUUCUCCUGUGGCUGGCCAGCACACCAACUUCAAGGACAGUCCCCACAGCUUUGCUUCUCAUACUUGGUGUCCCCUAGGAGGAAAUCCAGAAGUGUGAAAUGCCUCUCAACUGCUGCUCACCUAGGAAAGUGCCCUAUAACAUUGGUGGUUGCUGCUAAGGAUACUUCUCUGAGGAUGACUGUGCAUGUUGGCUCUUUGGCCUGCUCUGCUGGUGCCUUGAUAACACCUGAUGGUGCCUGACCACAGCUGCCUCCCUGCAGGACAUCUUUGUCUUAACCAGGUCAGUGAGGCUUCCCUGGGGCCUGCCAGA